CGGACGGGUGAGUAAUGUCUGGGAAACUGCCUGAUGGAGGGGGGUAACUACUGGAAACGGUAGCUAAUACCGCAUAAUGUCUGCGGACCAAAGCGGGGGACCUCCGGGCCUCGCGCCAUCAGAUGAACCCAUAUGGGAUUAGCUAGUAGGUAAGGUAACGGCUUACCUAGGCGACGAUCCCUAGCUGGUCUGAGAGGAUGAUCAGCCACACUGGGACUGAGACACGGCCCAG
rnacentral:rRNA from 1 species